AGUGAACGCUGGCGGUAGGCCUAACACAUGCAAGUCGAACGGCAGCACAGUAAGAGCUUGCUCUUACGGGUGGCGAGUGGCGGACGGGUGAGGAAUACAUCGGAAUCUACUUUUUCGUGGGGGAUAACGUAGGGAAACUUACGCUAAUACCGCAUACGACCUACGGGUGAAAGCAGGGGAUCUUCGGACCUUGCGCGAUUGAAUGGGCCGAUGUCGGAUUAGUUAGUUGGCGGGGUAAAGGCCCACCAAGGCGACGAUCCGUAGCUGGUCUGAGAGGAUGAUCAGCCACACUGGAACUGAGACACGGUCCAGACUCCUACGGGAGGCAGCAGUGGGGAAUAUUGGACAAUGGGCGCAAGCCUGAUCCAGCCAUACCGCGUGGGUGAAGAAGGCCUUCGGGUUGUAAAGCCCUUUUGUUGGGAAAGAAAAGCAGCAGGUUAAUACCCCGCUGUUCUGACGGUACCCAAAGAAUAAGCACCGGCUAACUUCGUG
rnacentral:rRNA from 1 species